GUAGCUUUGUGGUCAAGAAGAUUCAAAAUCUUUAUAAAGCCAUAGGUUCAAUUCCUACUAGCUACA
rnacentral:tRNA from 1 species